rnacentral:rRNA from 1 species
AAAUUGAAGAGUUUGAUCAUGGCUCAGAUUGAACGCUGGCGGCAGGCCUAACACAUGCAAGUCGAACGGUAACAGGAAGCAGCUUGCUGCUUUGCUGACGAGUGGCGGACGGGUGAGUAAUGUCUGGGAAACUGCCUGAUGGAGGGGGAUAACUACUGGAAACGGUGGCUAAUACCGCAUAACGUCGCAAGACCAAAGAGGGGGACCUUCGGGCCUCUUGCCAUCAGAUGUGCCCAGAUGGGAUUAGCUUGUUGGUGAGGUAACGGCUCACCAAGGCGACGAUCCCUAGCUGGUCUGAGAGGAUGACCAGCCACACUGGAACUGAGACACGGUCCAGACUCCUACGGGAGGCAGCAGUGGGGAAUAUUGCACAAUGGGCGCAAGCCUGAUGCAGCCAUGCCGCGUGUAUGAAGAAGGCCUUCGGGUUGUAAAGUACUUUCAGCGGGGAGGAAGGUGUUGUGGUUAAUAACCGCAGCAAUUGACGUUACCCGCAGAAGAAGCACCGGCUAACUCCGUGCCAGCAGCCGCGGUAAUACGGAGGGUGCAAGCGUUAAUCGGAAUUACUGGGCGUAAAGCGCACGCAGGCGGUCUGUCAAGUCGGAUGUGAAAUCCCCGGGCUCAACCUGGGAACUGCAUUCGAAACUGGCAGGCUUGAGUCUUGUAGAGGGGGGUAGAAUUCCAGGUGUAGCGGUGAAAUGCGUAGAGAUCUGGAGGAAUACCGGUGGCGAAGGCGGCCCCCUGGACAAAGACUGACGCUCAGGUGCGAAAGCGUGGGGAGCAAACAGGAUUAGAUACCCUGGUAGUCCACGCCGUAAACGAUGUCUACUUGGAGGUUGUGCCCUUGAGGCGUGGCUUCCGGAGCUAACGCGUUAAGUAGACCGCCUGGGGAGUACGGCCGCAAGGUUAAAACUCAAAUGAAUUGACGGGGGCCCGCACAAGCGGUGGAGCAUGUGGUUUAAUUCGAUGCAACGCGAAGAACCUUACCUGGUCUUGACAUCCACAGAACUUUCCAGAGAUGGACUGGUGCCUUCGGGAACUGUGAGACAGGUGCUGCAUGGCUGUCGUCAGCUCGUGUUGUGAAAUGUUGGGUUAAGUCCCGCAACGAGCGCAACCCUUAUCCUUUGUUGCCAGCGGUUA